rnacentral:lncRNA from 1 species
AUGAGGACAAUCUUAUUGGUUGGAGAUACUAUAUCAAUGUUGGAAAAAUUAGUUCUCUUUUGAAAUCUUUAGUCAAAUAUUUGUAUAAACAGUUUUGUUUGAAAACAACUUAUCCACUGUUUUUAGAAACGUUGAUUAAGAACGAAAUAAAUAAAAACUAUAGAGAAUAAAGGAUUAGAUGGAGCCUGUGAGUCGAGGCGUGCGAUUGCACUGUCCAAGAAGCAAGAUUGCCCCUCCACGUACGAGGCGCCGGCAAUCACUCCUAGCGAUACA